rnacentral:rRNA from 1 species
AGUAACUGCGAGUGAAGCGGGAAAAGCUCAAAUUUAAAAUCUGGCGGUCUUUGGCCGUCCGAGUUGUAAUCUAGAGAAGUGUUACCCGUGCCGGACCGUGUAUAAGUCUCCUGGAAUGGAGCGUCAUAGAGGGUGAGAAUCCCGUCUUUGACACGGACUACCGGUGCAUUGUGGUGCGCUCUCAAAGAGUCGAGUUGUUUGGGAAUGCAGCUCAAAAUGGGUGGUAAAUUCCAUCUAAAGCUAAAUAUUGGCGAGAGACCGAUAGCGAACAAGUACCGUGAGGGAAAGAUGAAAAGAACUUUGGAAAGAGAGUUAAACAGUACGUGAAAUUGCUGAAAGGGAAACGCUUGGAGUCAGUCGCGUUGGCCGGAAAUCAACCUUGCUUCUGCUUGGUGUACUUUCUGGUUGACGGGCCAGCAUCAGUUUUGACCGGUGGAAAAAGUUCAAGGGAAUGUGGCAUCUCCGGAUGUGUUAUAGCCCUUGGUCGUAUACAUCGGUUGGGACUGAGGAAUUCAGCACGCCGCAAGGCCGGGUCUUCGACCACGUUCGUGCUUAGGAUGCUGGCAUAAUGGCUUUAAUCGACCCGUCUUGAAACACGGACCAAGGAGUCUAACAUGCCUGCGAGUGUUCGGGUGGAAAACCCGAGCGCGUAAUGAAAGUGAAAGUUGGGAUCCUUGUCAUGGGGAGCACCGACGCCCGGACCAGACGUAUUCUGACGGAUCCGCGGUGAAGCAUGUAUGUUGGGACCCGAAAGAUGGUGAACUAUGCCUGAAUAGGGUGAAGCCAGAGGAAACUCUGGUGGAGGCUCGUAGCGAUUCUGACGUG